rnacentral:lncRNA from 1 species
UUUCGAUAAGUUCGAAAUAACACCCUUUUAGGCCAAGGUCCUUCGCCAAAAAGAGAAGAGUUCGACCUCGAUAGAAUGACGAUGGGUUACUAUUUUGAUAAAGUUCAAAAUAAUACCUUUUAAUGCCUAGGGGCUUCGCAAAAAAGAGAAGAGUUCUACCUAGAUCGAACCAUGACAGGUUACUAUUUCGAUAUGUUCGAUAUAACACACUUUUAGGCCAAGAGCCUUCGCCAAAAAGAGAAGAGUUUGACCUCGAACGAACGACGACGGGUUACUAUUUCGAUAAAGUUCGAAAUAACACACUUUAAGGCUAAGGGCCUUCGCCAAAACAAGAAGAGUUCGACCUCGAUUGAAUGACGACGGGUUACUAUUUCGAUAAUGUUCGAAAUAAUAGCCUUUAAUGCCUAGGGCCUUCGCAAAAAAGAGAAGAGUUCGACCUAAAUCGAACGACGAAAAGAUACUAUUUUGAUAAGUUCGAAAUAACACACUUUAGGGCCUUCGCCAAAAAGAGAAGAGUUUUACUUCGAUCGAACGAUGACGGGAUACUAUUUCUAUAAGUUCGAAAUAACAGCCUUUAAAGCCUAGGGCCUUCGCCAAAAAGAAAGGAGUUUGACCCCGAUCGAACGACGACGGGAUACUAUUUCAAUAAGUUCGAAAUAACACCUUGUAAGGCCAAGGUCCUUCGCCAAAAAGAGAAGAGUUCGACCUCAAUCGAAUGAUGACGGGUUACUAUUUCAAUAAAGUUCGAAAUAACACCCUUUAAGGCCAAGGGCCUUCGCCAAAAAGAGAAAAGUUCGACCUCGAUCUAACGAUGACGAGCUACUAUUUCGAUAAGUUCGAAGUUACACCCUUUACGACCAAGGGCCUUCACCAAUAAGAGAAGAAUUC